CAGUACAUUUGCAGCCUCACCUCUACACAACCUCCUACAUUUGACCAUGCAAUUCAUGUCCACUUUGUCCAGGGCUGUUACCUUUUCCUUUUAAUUUAUUUAGCAGAUGUGAACAUCCUUGGUUAUAUUUGUUUGCCAAAAAUUAAUCCCCAAACCUUCUUGUUUCGUUUGUGCAGAUUUCUUUUGAAGAAGUACAUGUGUGUUCUAGCUUGGUGGACAUUAGCCCAAGAUCCGGAAGAAAUCAAGAGAUAACCAAUUGAUGUUGUGGAUGACAUCUAAGGUUGUAGCUAUUGCAUAUAGGACAGUCAGCCACACUAUUGAUAUCUCCAUCAUUGCCAGUACCGCCUGCCCUGUUGUCAUGAAUUAUAUGCAGGUAUCCAGCAGAGUACAUUAUUUUACCAGUGCAUUGAAGCUGAAUCUACUCUUGGUAAAAUGAUUAUCAAAGUUAAUGUUAUA